CGCCCGCCUACGGGAGGCAGCAGUGGGGAAUCUUGGACAAUGGGCGCAAGCCUGAUCCAGCCAUGCCGCGUGAGUGAUGAAGGCCCUAGGGUCGUAAAGCUCUUUCGCCAGAGAUGAUAAUGACAGUAUCUGGUAAAGAAACCCCGGCUAACUCCGUGCCAGCAGCCGCGGUAAUACGGAGGGGGUUAGCGUUGUUCGGAAUUACUGGGCGUAAAGCGCGCGUAGGCGGACCAGAAAGUAAGGGGUGAAAUCCCAGGGCUCAACCCUGGAACUGCCUCUUAAACUCCUGGUCUUGAGUUCGAGAGAGGUGAGUGGAAUUCCGAGUGUAGAGGUGAAAUUCGUAGAUAUUCGGAGGAACACCAGUGGCGAAGGCGGCUCACUGGCUCGAUACUGACGCUGAGGUGCGAAAGUGUGGGGAGCAAACAGGAUUAGAUACCCUGGUAGUCCACACCGUAAACGAUGAAUGCCAGUCGUCGGGUAGCAUGCUAUUCGGUGACACACCNAACGGAUUAA
rnacentral:rRNA from 1 species